CAGGGUGUAGCUCCAAUUGGCAGAGCAGCGAUUCCAAUCCGCGUGUUGGGAGUUCGAAUCUCUCCACCCUUGCCA
rnacentral:tRNA from 1 species